rnacentral:rRNA from 1 species
CGUGCCAGCAGCCGCGGUAAUACGUAGGUGGCAACCGUUAUCCGGAUUUAUUGGGGGUAAAGAGAACGCAGGCGGUCUUUUAAGUCUGAUGUGAAAGCCCUCGGCUCAACCGAGGAAGGUCAUUGGAAACUGGGAAACUUGAAUGCAGAAGAGGAGAGUGGAAUUCCAUGUGUAGCGGUGAAAUGCGUAGAUAUAUGGAGGAACACCAGUGGCGAAGGCGGCUCUCUGGUCUGUAACUGACGCUGAGGCUCGAAAGCGUGGGGAGCGA